rnacentral:rRNA from 1 species
AGAGUUUGAUCCUGGCUCAGGAUGAACGCUAGCUACAGGCUUAACACAUGCAAGUCGAGGGGCAGCAUGGUCUUAGCUUGCUAAGGCCGAUGGCGACCGGCGCACGGGUGAGUAACACGUAUCCAACCUGCCGUCUACUCUUGGACAGCCUUCUGAAAGGAAGAUUAAUACAAGAUGGCAUCAUGAGUCCGCAUGUUCACAUGAUUAAAGGUAUUCCGGUAGACGAUGGGGAUGCGUUCCAUUAGAUAGUAGGCGGGGUAACGGCCCACCUAGUCUUCGAUGGAUAGGGGUUCUGAGAGGAAGGUCCCCCACAUUGGAACUGAGACACGGUCCAAACUCCUACGGGAGGCAGCAGUGAGGAAUAUUGGUCAAUGGACGAGAGUCUGAACCAGCCAAGUAGCGUGAAGGAUGACUGCCCUAUGGGUUGUAAACUUCUUUUAUACGGGAAUAAAGUUAGCCACGUGUGGCUUUUUGUAUGUACCGUAUGAAUAAGGAUCGGCUAACUCCGUGCCAGCAGCCGCGGUAAUACGGAGGAUCCGAGCGUUAUCCGGAUUUAUUGGGUUUAAAGGGAGCGUAGGCGGGUUGUUAAGUCAGUUGUGAAAGUUUGCGGCUCAACCGUAAAAUUGCAGUUGAUACUGGCGACCUUGAGUGCAACAGAGGUAGGCGGAAUUCGUGGUGUAGCGGUGAAAUGCUUAGAUAUCACGAAGAACUCCGAUUGCGAAGGCAGCUUACUGGAUUGUAACUGACGCUGAUGCUCGAAAGUGUGGGUAUCAAACAGGAUUAGAUACCCUGGUAGUCCACACAGUAAACGAUGAAUACUCGCUGUUGGCGAUAUACAGUCAGCGGCCAAGCGAAAGCAUUAAGUAUUCCACCUGGGGAGUACGCCGGCAACGGUGAAACUCAAAGGAAUUGACGGGGGCCC